CAUACACGGAGCCUCAUACAAUGGCAAGGCUGUUCGAGGUCAGCAGAAAGCAGGAUCUGGACUCUACCGCAUACCAGCCUUCAAGAAGUCAGGGGUCUGUGCUGCUGUCCCCCUGGAACCCAAAACUAACGCAUGGCAGUCCCAGGCUGUGUAGCAGGCUUUGGCGAAGAGCUCUUCUCAAGGCCACACCAGCAGAUGUAGAACAGACGGAUUAUAAAACCGGGAAGUGGUUGUUUAUAUAAAGGCCUUUAAGGGAACGACAGAUCAGCACCUACAAGACCAAAUGGCACAGCAACGGAAAUGAUCUGCACUCAGGGAUUGCUGCGUGCUUGCUGGCAAAGACAGAAGUUAAACAAAAGAUGGGAGUUUUCUCGAGGAGGGGACAUCAGCGCUCCGCGGGGGUUACAGAAAGAGGGGGCAAAUGCCACAUGGCGAUGCUGUGUCUGGCAUGUGGUUGGGAUUGGAAGAGAACCGGUCGAGCCGAGUGAGUUCUGUGUAAGCAUUGCGAGAGGUCUCGGCCUUGGCUUGCGCUUCACGAUCACUGGGGUAGAAACCUCAUUUCUGAGGAUAUAUGUUAUUCCAUCACUCUCUGGCACAGCAUAUCUGCACUUAAGCCUCCAGGCUGUGUUAGACUUGAUUUCGCUGCUGGCUGAUGGCAGCAGUUUCUGUAAUGUAAUGCUCCUCUGGGUGUAACCAUUGAAAUGUCAGCCUGCCAUCGCUGAUCAGUUGUUCAACAGCUUCCAAUGCUGGAAA